AGGGUGACAGCCCCGUACACAAAAGCGCAUGUGCUGUGAGCUCGAUGAGUAGGGCGGGACACGUGGUAUCCUGUCUGAAUAUGGGGGGACCAUCCUCCAAGGCUAAAUACUCCUGACUGACCGAUAGUGAACCAGUACCGUGAGGGAAAGGCGAAAAGAACCCCGGCGAGGGGAGUGAAAAAGAACCUGAAACCGUGUACGUACAAGCAGUGGGAGCCCCACCACUAAGCCAGUGGUGAACUCCACAUCCGCAUCCUUUGCUGAGGAUACGGUUAACGGAGCGAAAGCGACGUUCAACCGCAAAACAAGCAGAGGGGGCUUAGUGGUGGGGUGACUGCGUACCUUUUGUAUAAUGGGUCAGCGACUUAUAUUCUGUAGCAAGGUUAACCGAAUAGGGGAGCCGGAGGGAAACCGAGUCUUAAUUGGGCGUUAAGUUGCAGGGUAUAGACCCGAAACCCGGUGAUCUAGCCAUGGGCAGGUUGAAGGUUGGGUAACACUAACUGGAGGACCGAACCGACUAAUGUUGAAAAAUUAGCGGAUGACCUGUGGCUGGGGGUGAAAGGCCAAUCAAACCGGGAGAUAGCUGGUUCUCCCCGAAAGCUAUUUAGGUAGCGCCUCGUGAAUUCAUCUCCGGGGGUAGAGCACUGUUUCGGCUAGGGGGCCAUCCCGGCUUACCAACCCGAUGCAAACUGCGAAUACCGGAGAAUGUUAUCACGGGAGACACACGGCGGGUGCUAACGUCCGUCGUGAAGAGGGAAACAACCCAGACCGCCAGCUAAGGUCCCAAAGUCAUGGUUAAGUGGGAAACGAUGUGGGAAGGCCCAGACAGCCAGGAUGUUGGCUUAGAAGCAGCCAUCAUUUAAAGAAAGCGUAAUAGCUCACUGGUCGAGUCGGCCUGCGCGGAAGAUGUAACGGGGCUAAACCAUGCACCGAAGCUGCGGCAGCGAACGUAUCACCCAAGACAACUUUACGGAGUUGACGAUUGACGGAGCGAAGCGACGUCAAAGCGUUCAUUAAAGUCGAGUUGGCUUAGGGAUACGUUCGUUGGGUAGGGGAGCGUUCUGUAAGCCUGUGAAGGUGUGUCGUGAGGCAUGCUGGAGGUAUCAGAAGUGCGAAUGCUGACAUAAGUAACGAUAAAGCGGGUGAAAAGCCCGCUCGCCGGAAGACCAAGGGUUCCUGUCCAACGUUAAUCGGGGCAGGGUGAGUCGACCCCUAAGGCGAGGCCGAAAGGCGUAGUCGAUGGGAAACGGGUUAAUAUUCCCGUACUUGGUGUUACUGCGAAGGGGGGACGGAGAAGGCUAUGUUGGCCGGGCGACGGUUGUCCCGGUUUAAGCGUGUAGGUGUGUGUUCCAGGUAAAUCCGGUUCACUU
rnacentral:rRNA from 1 species